UAGCCAUUUGAAAUAUCUAGUGAAGACUGUUAGUUCUUUUCACAUUUGAAUGAGCUUUGCUCAUGUGUGCCUCAGUUUGACUCAAGUUUCUCAAUCUGUUUGUUUUUCUUUCUUUUUUUUUUUUUUUUUUGAAACAUUCCUGGUGUUAUGUCAAUGAAACACUAUAUAACUGCAGUCUUAAGACAAUCAGCAGAACAUCUGAGUCAUAACUAAAACCCAACCCAGGAAUUUGAAAUGCAAAUAAACCAUUUUUUUCUUGAAUUUUCUAAACCAGAAGUACAUAGUAAAUACAAUCCAGUAAUACAAAUGGUUAAAGAGCCUGGAACUUUAACGUAAGCUUUAUUUUCUUUUACAGUGCUGAGUUCAUAAAACACUUUCUGCAUGAUGCUGUUUACUUUCAAUAAUUUGAAAGCUAUCUCUAACCCUUGUGAGUCAGAAGAACGGACUGAAUCAGAAAUGCAAUAACUUUGAUCACAUAACAGCACAAUGAUCAUAAGGCAUCACCCAGAUCACCCAGCCUUCUUAGUGAUUCUUUCUGACCUUGCUCCAAGAUCAAGUCCCAAAUUCAGAAAGAACACUUGGAAAUGGUAUGUAUCUGUCAUAUAAGAGGUACGUAUUUGAUCUCUACCCUGUUUCCUGGUACCUGGAAUCUCUGAAGUGGUACAUG
rnacentral:lncRNA from 1 species